GCCUUUCUGAAUUUUUAUAUAAUGAUUUUUAUUUUUACAUAUUGUAUAUUAUACACGGUUAUUUCAAGUUUUGUUAUAAAUGUUAAUAAAAAAAAAUUCAAAGUCAUCGUUUGAAAAAAAACUUUUGUCCUAUGGAUAUUAUCUGUGAAAAAAGUGAUGUCCCAACAAAAGCGAUUCCGGAAAAAAGUAUCUGUCCUACUGCACUUUGCACCGGUCCUAUGUGACGAUAAAUUUUGACCAGUCCCUAAG
rnacentral:lncRNA from 1 species